GACGGUUCACCGCCGAGUCACCCGAGGCCGGGUGAGCCGGGGACCCAACCGCCUCGCCGCCAGCGAGGAAUGGGGUGAAUCCGCGCCAACCAUGCGGUAGGGCAGUCUUGCGCCCGAACCCGACAGCUAACCCGGUAGGCGGACGAGACGAAAGAAUUU
rnacentral:sRNA from 2 species